rnacentral:rRNA from 1 species
GAUGUUCCACAUGAUCGCAUGUGAUUGUGGGAAAGAUUCUAUCGGCGUGGGAUGGGGUCGCGUCCUAUCAGCUUGUUGGUGAGGUAACGGCUCACCAAGGCUUCGACGGGUAGCCGGCCUGAGAGGGCGACCGGCCACAUUGGGACUGAGAUACGGCCCAGACUCCUACGGGAGGCAGCAGUGGGGAAUAUUGCACAAUGGGCGCAAGCCUGAUGCAGCGACGCCGCGUGAGGGAUGGAGGCCUUCGGGUUGUAAACCUCUUUUGUUUGGGAGCAAGCCUUCGGGUGAGUGUACCUUUCGAAUAAGCGCCGGCUAACUACGUGCCAGCAGCCGCGGUAAUACGUAGGGCGCAAGCGUUAUCCGGAUUUAUUGGGCGUAAAGGGCUCGUAGGCGGCUCGUCGCGUCCGGUGUGAAAGUCCAUCGCUUAACGGUGGAUCUGCGCCGGGUACGGGCGGGCUGGAGUGCGGUAGGGGAGACUGGAAUUC